UGCUCAGACCUGAAGCUUUCCUUGUUGUCAUAGCUGAACGGGUUCUAUCAUCGCCAGUGAACUGUCAGUGAUUUGGACAACAUUUCAACUGUCGCAAGUCACUUGGAAUUUGAAGAAUUCUUUUGGGCGACAGUACCAGCGUAAGUGCGUUUCAAGAGAACAACCGCUCCCCCUACUGAUAUGGGUGUAAAAAUGCUGCAGUGCUUUCCCUUCUACAGACGCUGCAAGGAGAGGUGCAAAAGACAGUGCCCUCCUGAGACGGCAGUAGCAAGUGAAGAGGUGAAACCUCGGCUGUGUUCCACUACUUCCUGGGGCAGUGAAGGGGACAGCAGCAGCAGUCUGAGUUGCCCACAGGCCUAUUUUUCCCACAAGGCUCGGCUCUCACUUCGACACCAGAUGGAUAGCAACAUCAAUGCAGUGGAUGCCACAUACUAACUUUGUUCUUUAGGCGGUCUCUGGAAAAUCCUUGAAAAGUAAUUUUCCGAUUUACAGCCCCAGUCCAGUUUAAGUCCUUUAUUGGAGAGUUUUUGCGAGGAACUGGAGGAUGAGCCAUUAGGAGGAACAAGCAGCAUGGAAGUUUGCCUCUCCUUGCAUGCCUAUGGACAGUCAUGAGCGUCAGCUGUAUGCAUUGUAGUAACAAUGUCAAGAUAAGUGUCUGAAUUUCUCUAAUUUAACAAUACAGCACGAGUGUAAAAUGGUACAGCUGAGUGUAAUUUGGUGAAAGGGGAUAUUAUGAAACACUCUUAAGAGUUACAGUAUGUUUACAUGAUAACCAAUAAGUGCUUUUUUUCUAGCCUGUAGCAUUUGCCCUCCACAGCCUCUGCCAUACAUGCAUCUGCAGUAUCUGAACUGGAUACUGGUUUUAUCUGAGGAGACACUGACAUUUUAAUGCAAUUGGGUUUUUUGAGCCAGAUAUAAAUUUGUUCAGUAGGAUACGUUGAUGAAUAGCAGUCUACCUAAUAAAGUCAACCACGCUUUGCCUUGCUGGUCAUAAAUUCAGUGUGUACUGUUACUGUAAAGCAACUGAAUGUUUCUUUUACAUAAACAGAAAGGUUUCUAAAGCUUAUUUUUCUUUCUACAACUGCAUCAAGGUCCAUUAACAUAGUGUGCACAGCUCUAACUUUAAUAUUUUUUUUAAAAUUAUGUUUAGAUUUCAGGGCUUCUCGAAAUAUGCCCUGUCCAUAAACACAUUUUGCUUGAGAAGUGUUUUUGGAACAAUUCUAUUAAAGAUGGUUGUUUCAUGGACUUUAUGUAAGUUAAAUCUUACCAACUAAUGUAUUAAUAUGAAGAUGGCCUGUUUUUUUUAAUCUUUUUUAAAGUUUUUCUUCGUAUUGCAUUUAUAAAACCAAUCAAGUGAAUGGAGAUGUUUGUUGUGAUCCACUCAUUGCUUGUUACAUGUUUGAAAAAACAGGUUUUACAUGCUAAUGAUGUGUACCUGGACUAAGCCUGUCACGAUAACAUCUUUUUGUUGUGCAAUAUAUUGCCCCAGAAAUAAAUGCGAUACACGAUA